AACGAACGCUGGCGGCGUGCUUAACACAUGCAAGUCGAGCGGUAAGGCCCUUUCGGGGGUACGACGAGCGGCGAACGGGUGAGGAAUACAUGGGUAACCUACCCUCGAGUGGGGAAUAACUAGCCGAAAGGUUAGCUAAUACCGCGUACGCUCCUUGGACUUCGGUUCAGGGAGGAAAGCGAUACCGUGGGUAUCGCGCUCUUGGAUGGGCUCAUCGUCCUA
rnacentral:rRNA from 1 species